AUAACAGUUAGAAAUGACUGCUAAUACCGCAUAAGACCACAGCAUCGCAUGGUGCAGGGGUAAAAACUCCGGUGGUAUGAGAUGGACCCGCGUCUGAUUAGCUGGUUGGUGGGGUAACGGCCUACCAAGGCGACGAUCAGUAGCCGACCUGAGAGGGUGACCGGCCACAUUGGGACUGAGACACGGCCCAAACUCCUACGGGAGGCAGCAGUGGGGAAUAUUGCACAAUGGGGGAAACCCUGAUGCAGCGACGCCGCGUGAAGGAUGAAGUAUUUCGGUAUGUAAACUUCUAUCAGCAGGGAAGAAAAUGACGGUACCUGACUAAGAAGCCCCGGCUAACUACGUGCCAGCAGCCGCGGUAAUACGUAGGGGGCAAGCGUUAUCCGGAUUUACUGGGUGUAAAGGGAGCGUAGACGGUAUGGCAAGUCUGAUGUGAAAGGCCAGGGCUCAACUCUGGGACUGCAUUGGAAACUGUCGAACUAGAGUGUCGGAGAGGCAAGUGGAAUUCCUAGUGUAGCGGUGAAAUGCGUAGAUAUUAGGAGGAACACCAGUGGCGAAGGCGGUUUGCUGGACGAUGACUGACGUUGAGGCUCGAAAGCGUGGGGAGCAAACAGGAUUAGAUACCCUGGUAGUCCACGCCGUAAAC
rnacentral:rRNA from 1 species